GCAGUUUUUCCGAAUUUCCAAAAGAGAGAAUAGAUUUGGGAAUUGCCUGUUUUAUCAAAAGAAAAGCAAUAGAGUAAACUUCUGCCUCUAUUAGAGGUGAUUCUAGAGAUGUCAAAAUAUUCCUAAUGUUGGCAGUAAGCCCUGUGGUAGGUGUAUUUUGAAUGGAAAACAACCCCACCUGUUCCUUUGAGCUUAUUUUGAAUAAAUCUCCUGGGAAAUCACAAAGAAUAAGCUCUUUCUCCUAGAAAGGAAAUCACUGCUAGGAUCCCCAUGAUGUAGCAGAAAGAGCAUCAGACUUUCUAGUUUCCUUUUCCAGCUUUGCUAUCUGUCAGAUGUUGCCUUUAGAUAUAUCACUUACCCCACCUGGGUUUCAAUUUCUUCCUCUGUAAAAAGAGGGCAGUGCUUAAUUUCUAAGGCUUCACUAGUGUUUUUGUUUGUUUGUUUGUUUUUGUUUUUUUAUUAAUAUCCUUUUCUGGUGAUUUAGCCAUGUGUUUUUGCCAGGCUUCUCAUGCAUCCACCUCUCAGAGGUACUAUAUCCUUAUGAGAUAACAGCUUCUAUUUACCCUUGCAAAUAAUAUUUAUCAGGAAAGAGGCACACAUAUCAAUUCCCUAUCUUUUAAAUCACUUUUCCUACAUGUUGAAAACUAGUAAAACUUUCUCUGUUGUAACCUUAUCAAAGAUUUUUCUUUGAUAUUUUUUCAGAAGAGAAAGUGGCAGUCACUUAAGAAAAUUAUGUAAAUCAGGUUUAUAAGGGGAAUGUUUGACUUCCCUAAGAAAAUUAACUCUUUAAGCAUGGCAGCCAGUUAGUUCUAAUAAUGUGACAUGAUUAAAUGGUGUGGGUUUUGGCAAGGGCUUACAGUCUGUUAGCCUUAGUUGCAUUUAUAAAAUGUGAUUGAAAGUAAUGAAGCCCAUUUCUUUAGGAGUAGUUUAUGGUUGAGGCUUUUUAACUCUAUUUGUGGCUAUACGCACAAAACUAAUUAGGCCUUUUAAUCCAAAUUGGCCUAUCAAAUUCAGUAAGGGAGAAAGAAACAGUUACAUUUUAAAAAGUAUAGUACGCCAAAAAGGUUUAUUUGGUCAUACAUCUAAAUAAAUGUUUUUCAGUCUAUGAAUCAAGACUGAUUAGCAGCUUAUGAGAUACAUGUUUUGGCUCAUAGAUGGCUUUUGAAAAAAUAUAGAAUAGAAUAAGAUAGGAUAGGAUAGGAUAGAAUAGAAUAGAAAAUAUCAGAGUAUAUCAUCUUAAAAAUUAGUAUUGGCUUAUGAAAAUCAAUUUUAUUUACACAGUUGCUUUUAAUGCAUCUAUAUUCCUGGUCACAUUGUAAAUUUUAUUUCUUACUCUAGAUUUGGAUACAAAAAGGUCAACUUUCAGGGGAAAAGAGAUUCUGAGACAGAGGCUUCUGUGCAGUGUGUUUAUUGGGAUGUACAGUAUAGGAGCAACACCUGUGAGAAGGAGAGGGAGACAGGAUUGUGGAGAAGAAGAAACUGAACAGAGAUGCAAUAACACAGGUCUCAGUUGAUCCCUUUAAGUAGUGGGGGUUCUUGGAAGACUGCAGAGUCGUCCUAAGUUGAGGAUGGGUCAGGGCCCGUACCCCACAACUACACGCUGGCUGUAGGCUUCUCCCUGGAGGGUGGCGUAAUCUUGGGUCAGGUAGCUCCCUUUGCUGGCCAAGGGCAGUUCCAGCCGAAGAGCUCUGCUGUGAGCAGUCAGCAGCCUGCGCAGCUGGAAAAAUGGGUGCCUGGGUACUGAAGGAGGCCAUCUGGGAGGCACCCACAGCAUCAACACAGCUAUUACCCAUAAAUCCUGAGUCAGACCACCCUAACUUCAGGACAGGGGCUCUUAAAACCUCAGCAGGACUGAAAUCCCAGCUUAAAAAAUUUUGUCAUGGUGGCCAUCCCAUGUCUUGUACGAUGUGGUAAAGAAACUGACUCCAGUUUUGAUGACUGAUUAUUGACAACUCUCAUGCUCCACCACCACCCCUAUUGCCCUUUUGCCUCACAUCUGAACAAGUCCUACAAAAGCUAGGAGGUUCCCUCCCUUGGCUCUAGCAGGGAAGUUCAAAUCAGGCAAACCCAGGCCUGUGGGAGGGAUUCUUCCCCUCUAUUUUCUUCCUAACUACAGUAAAAACCCAAGCCAUUUUCAGAGUGUCUUGAGUGUCCACACUUUCCAGGAGGCCUUAUUAUGUGAUCAAUAAACCUUUUCAUACCCUCCUCAUGUGUGUACGUGUGUGCAUGUGAUCAUCAACCUUGACAUCUGAACCAAAUUUCAGACACAGGCUAUCCCACAUCCUCCCUGUCCUGUCCUCUACCCAGUAUAAGCCUAUCCCACUCCAAGUUGGGACAACCAAAAUAUUCCCAAACAUUGCCAGGUACCCCUGGGGACAAAAUCACCACUGGCUGAGAGCCCCUGCUCCCGAGCCUAAAUUAACCUUUACUAAGUAGGCAACUGAGAGCACAUCGAAGUCCAGCAUGCUGUGUUCCAAGUAUUUCUAUAUGAUACCCAGAAAAGACUUGUGGUUGUUCUACAUUCUCAUGACUUAACAUGAUGAUAAAGAUGGUUUCAUGGGUUCUGUGUGAUUUGACAGGAUGUCUGAUUUCCUAUUUGCGGUCUGACUGUGAAGUCAGAGCGGGUGGUCUGGUGAGAAAACAGGCUGGAGGCUUUAAACUUUGUUUUAUUUAUGGGGCACAUUAAUUCCUUCUUUGGAAAGCACAUAGAAUCAUUUAGGCCCAGUAAAAUGGGAUAAUGUGGUGAUCUGCAUUUGCCUGCCAUUUUAAAAUUCCAUUUUAUGAAAUAGGAGUGAAACAGAAUAGUAUAGUUGGAUUUUAAUCACUAGAGUUUCAACCUCACCUCUUGGGAGCUAUUCUAAUCUUUGAAAAGAUUAGAAACUGCAGAGAAGCAAGAGAAUGGAGGUGGCUGAGCUGGAAGGAGUGCCUUUUAAGUGAGUAAUUGCUAGGAUGUUUUUGCCAACAGUUGUAGACCACAGAAUCAUACAUUUCACCUUAGUUUUCUUAAUUUUUAAAUCUAAGCCUACACUAAAAUGUGGGUGUUGAAAUGAGGGGGAAUGGCUACCUAAUUGCAUUAGACUCUCCUAGUAGUUAUUUUCAAAUAUUUAUUUGACAAUCAAGAAAUUUUCCCCAGGAAGUUCCCAUUGUGGCGCAGUGGAAUCAAAUCUGAUUAGUAUCCAUGAGGAUGAGGGCUUGAUCCCUGGCCUUGUUACAAUGGGUCAGGAAUCUGGCAUUGCCCUGAGCUGUGGUGUAGGUUGCAGACCCUGCUUGGAUCCCAUGUUGUUGUGGCUGUGGCAUAGGUAGCCAGCUGUAGCUCUGAUG
rnacentral:lncRNA from 1 species